UACAGAGGGUGCGAGCGUUAAUCGGAUUUACUGGGCGUAAAGCGUGCGCAGGCGGCUUUGCAAGACAGAUGUGAAAUCCCCGGGCUCAACCUGGGAACUGCAUUUGCGACUGCAAGGCUGGAGUACGGCAGAGGGGGAUGGAAUUCCGCGUGUAGCAGUGAAAUGCGUAGAUAUGCGGAGGAACACCGAUGGCGAAGGCAAUCCCCUGGGCCUGUACUGACGCUCAUGCACGAAAGCGUGGGGAGCAAACAGG
rnacentral:rRNA from 1 species